CUACGGGCCGCACCAGUUAGGAAUAAUCUACAAUGCGCGCAAGCGUGAUAGUUUGAGCCAGAGUGCGUUUCUAUUGAAACGCUUUUGCCGAAUGUAAAAAGUUCGGCGAAUAAGGACUGGGUAAGACUAGUGCCAGCCGCCGCGGUGAAUACUAGCGGUCCAAGUCGCAGCCAUCUUUAUUGGGUCUAAAACAUCCGUAGCUUGCUUAGUAAGUUUCCUGUGAAAUCUGGCUUCUUAAAAGUCGGGCGGGCGGGAAGUACUGCUAAGCUAGAGACUGGGAGACGUAAGAAGUAUGUUCAAAGUAGCAGUAAAAUGCUUUAAUCUUGAGCAGACUAACAACAGCGAAGGCAUCUUACGAGAACAGUUCUGACAGUCAGGGAUGAAGGCUAGGGUCGCGAAAGGGAUUAGAUACCCGGGUAGUC
rnacentral:rRNA from 1 species